GGCGAGGCAGCUGUGAUCAGAGAGAUCAAGAGAUAUUUUGCAAUUGCCUGGUGCUCUUAGGAUUUCACAAGGCUUGUCAGAAGCUCCUGUGCAGUCAGUACCAUUCAUUUACUGCAUUAGCUCUCCCUUGGUCUCCAUUCCUAUCUCCUGCUUUUAAAUAUAAAUGACCUUCAAGUUCUUCCGAGGAGUCAAUGAGAUGACACGUACACACAUACAAUAACUGCUUAGUAGAAGUAAGGCCCUUCUCUUC